ACGGAGGAUCCAAGCGUUAUCCGGAUUCAUUGGGUUUAAAGGGUCCGUAGGCGGAUUUUUAAGUCAGUGGUGAAAGCCCACAGCUCAACUGUGGAACUGCCAUUGAUACUGGAAGUCUUGAGUUUGGUUGAAGUUGGCGGAAUACGUCAUGUAGCGGUGAAAUGCAUAGAUAUGACGUAGAACACCGAUUGCGAAGGCAGCUGACUAAGUCAAUACUGACGCUGAGGGACGAAAGCGUGGGGAGCGAACAGG
rnacentral:rRNA from 1 species